rnacentral:ribozyme from 1 species
UAAAAGGAAAAGACAAGCUCAAGUGCUGGAGAAAAAAAGAAAAGGAAAUCUCCAAGGGAAACAACAACAUGAAAAAAGACAACUAAAGAAAAAAACAAAAACAAAAAAAAAAAAACGAAGAAAAAGAAGAAAAGCUGUUUCUCGAAACCCCC